GCUACGCAGAAAUAAAGCUUGCUUCGCUGAGGUCUCCUGAUCGUUCUUGCUGGCGAGAGCGACAAGUGGUGCCGAAACCCGGGAAACCCGAAACCUACACAGAGGAGUUCUCAGUAAACGCAACGAUCUGGAUGCCCAAGUGCCUAUCUGGGUCCCGGAGCGACUGAUUAGAAGAAUCGAUCAACAUGGCCCGCCCCGUCCUGAUGCUCGCCCUGAUAGCGAUCCUGGCAACACCAGCAUCCCUUCAACAGAUGCACCAAUGGGCAAUAGUGAAAGCCUGGCCAUUCCCCAUGCCACUGACGAAUGAGUCCGCCAUCCUCCCUCCUGUAUACCUACUUUCAUUCCCAUGCCCGUUUCUGUAAAUCCUAACAAUUCACCUGUAUUGCUCUCAAGACAUAAAAGAGACUUUGGGAUCACUGUAGCCAUUAUUGCGGCUGUAGCAGCCUCCGCAGCUGCAGCAAUGGCAGCGGCUGUAGCUCUCACCACAUCUGUAACAAGUGGACAUUCUCCAGAAACUAUUGACGACCGGAUGCAUACAAUCACUUUCUGGACUUUGCAUAACCUCCGUGGCCUAUAAUGACCUUUCUAUUGCUGCUAAUCUGUCGAAAGAGUUAAGCAGAUGAGAUUGACAUAGCUCCAUUACGGGAUUGGGUAUCUGUUGUAAAUCCUUAUGUUCCGCUGUUUUGCAUCAUUACGUAAACAACAAUGUAGGCAACAGUUGGCGCUAGUACAAGCUUGCAUGGCACUGGAAGCUGGUACAUUUCCCCAAAUCUGGCUGGCAGCGCUAGAUCGGUAGUCAAUGAUGGGUAAGAUUGGCUGCAUGCACAUAGCAACCUAAGCCAGGAGUUCUCCAACCAGGGGGAAUUAUCCAAUGACGGGUAAGCAUGUUCAUGGCAGCUGACAACCUAAGACAGGCACGGUCUCCUGCCUUGCAUGCCUAAUAUAAAAGAAAAGGGGGAGAUGUCGGUGCCCCAGCGGCUUGUAGUGCAUGCGCGGUGAUGCUUCUGGGCUCCCCCGUGCCCAAUCGUUGCCUCGGUGGCCGCUGCAGGGUGGCGACGGUUCGGAGCUGCUCCGGCUGGGGGGGGGGGGGCGCUGCACGACUUUUUCGGUGCCCGAAAGUAAACACGCCAUUAAGAUGGCGGCUGGAUGCGAGCCAGUAGGCAGAACUUAGGAUUUUGUAUCUAUGUGGCUGCGAGUGAUUGGUUGUGCAACCUUGGUAUAUAUAGACAUGCACAGGCAGGGGAGAGAAGGAUCCCAACAGCUACGCAGAAAUAAAGCUUGCUUCGCUGAGGUCUCCUGGUUGUUCUUGCUGGCGAGAGCGACACCAGUCAAUGGUUUUGGGGAAGAGUUUUUCUUGUGCAAUUCCCUGUGUGCAGCUUGCACACUCUAUCUGUCACUCUCUUGCUCUCUCUCUCUUUCUCUCCUGCUC